rnacentral:rRNA from 1 species
AUUGAACGCUGGCGCCAUGCUUUACACAUGCAAGUCGAACGGUAACAGCUUAAGCUGACGAGUGGCGAACGGGUGAGUAAUGCAUCGGAACGUGCUCAAUCGUGGGGGAUAACGCCGCGAAAGCAGCACGAAUACCGCAUACGAUCUGAGGAUGAAAGCGGGGGACCGUAAGGGCUCGCGGGAUCGGAGCGGCCGAUGUCAGAUUAGGUAGUUGGUGGGGGAAAGGCUCACCAAGCCAACGAUCUGUAGCUGGUCUGAGAGGACGCCCAGCCACACUGGGACUGAGACACGGCCCAGACUCCUACGGGAGGCAGCAGUGGGGAAUUUUGGACAAUGGGCGAAAGCCUGAUCCAGCAAUGCCGCGUGCAGGAAGAAGGCCUUCGGGUUGGAAACUGCUUUUGUACGGAGCGAAAAGGUCUCCUCUAAUACAGGGGGCUCAUGACGGUACCGUAAGAAUAAGCACCGGCUAACUACGUGCCAGCAGCCGCCGCCG